UCUCUCACAUAUUCAACAGAUCCCACCCAAAAGCAAAAGCGCUCAACUUUUCUCUCUCUACCUCUCUACCUCUCUACAGUCUCUCUCUCUAGAAUGCAAAACAUUGCUUCUUCUUAGUUCGUCCUUAUCUUUUUGAUUUUCCAGCCUCACCAAACCCAAUGAUACCCAUUUCCACCGCUUCAAUCUGAGGAGGAGCGUUUUCAUUUAUUUUCCUCUUCUUUUUCGUUUGUUUAAAAUGAUGAGCUUUUUUGGGUUUUGGGUUUUUUCUUUGAAGCCCUGCUGAGUCUUCUUCCUUCUCAAGAGAUCUGAAGCUUGGGUUUCUCCGCCGCUACGAAGGUUCCUGGAACUUUUGAAUUAAUUCAAAAACAGUUAAUCUUAUUCUAUCCAACCGUUCAACUUCAAUCUUUGCCAUUUGGGUCUCUCUGUUUCUGAACCCACAAGAUGCAGAGACCACCCCCAGAAGACUUUGCUUUGAAGGAGACCAAACCCCACCUCGGUGGGGGGAGGAUCUCUGGUGAUAAGCUCACGAGCACCUAUGACCUCGUUGAGCAGAUGCAGUAUCUCUAUGUCCGGGUUGUCAAGGCAAAGGACUUGCCCGCGAAAGAUGUUACUGGUAGUUGUGACCCUUAUGUUGAAGUUAGGCUUGGAAAUUACAAGGGUGCAAC